rnacentral:rRNA from 1 species
AUGGUCGUUGGCGGCCGGCGGCGGCCGGUGCGCGCGAUCCGGCGCCUCCCCUCCUCCCCUGUUCGGCGUGUGAGUCAGCCUGGUCGGGCCGCGCUUCCUCUUGGUCGCCGGUUCUGUACAGGAGACGCUGCUGGUGCCGGGGAUCAAGUUCGGGCGAAAUCCUUGGCCGGCCUUGACCGGCCGCGCCGAUGA